AAUAAACAAAUAAUAUAGCAAAUUAAUAAAAUUAUCAUCCAAUAACAAUACGAUAUACGUCUAUCAGAAGAACAAUGAAAACCAUGGAAGAAAUAAAAUCAUUUUUCGCCUAUGACCUACCAAACGUGAUUUUGCAUAUCUAAUCAGAAGUUAUUUUCGAUUAUACGUUUCGACGUAAGCACGCAUCGCGAGUGAAUAUAGGUGGCCGAAAGCCCCAUACGUAGAAAUGUUAAAUGUUAGAUAUUUGAAGUUAUGUUCAAAAAUAUUGUUUUCCUUAUCAGGCGUACGGGAUGAUGACUGAUGAGAUUUAAUCCCAUUCCGCAUAGACGAAAGUUUUUUUUUCGCUGUGCCUGUACAAACUUUUAGCGAUUGUGGUAAUACGAAUGAAUACACUGUAGUUAACUGACCAUGAAUUUAACAAUGCAAAUUUAGCUGUAACGCAUAACCCACAUCGCAGAAUAUUGUUAUUAUUACAGAUAUACACCUC